GACGAACGCUGGCGGCGUGCUUAACACAUGCAAGUCGAACGGAAAGGCCCUGCUUUUGUGGGGUGCUCGAGUGGCGAACGGGUGAGUAACACGUGAGUAACCUGCCCUUGACUUUGGGAUAACUUCAGGAAACUGGGGCUAAUACCGGAUAGGAGCUCCUGCUGCAUGGUGGGGGUUGGAAAGUUUCGGCGGUUGGGGAUGGACUCGCGGCUUAUCAGCUUGUUGGUGGGGUAGUGGCUUACCAAGGCUUUGACGGGUAGCCGGCCUGAGAGGGUGACCGGCCACAUUGGGACUGAGAUACGGCCCAGACUCCUACGGGAGGCAGCAGUGGGGAAUAUUGCACAAUGGGCGGAAGCCUGAUGCAGAAACGCCGCGUGCGGGAUGACGGCCUUCGGGUUGUAAACAGCUUUCGCCUGUGACGAAGCGUGAGUGAUGGUAAUGGGUAAAGAAGCACCGGCUAACUACGUG
rnacentral:rRNA from 1 species